rnacentral:rRNA from 1 species
GUCUACGGCCAUACCACCCUAAAUGUGCCCGAUCUCAUCUGGUCUCAGAAGCUAAGCAGGGUCGGGCCUGGUUAGUACUUGGUUGGGAGAAUAAGAGCUCAGCAUAUUUGUAAGUG